rnacentral:rRNA from 1 species
CCUACGGGUGGCAGCAGUGAGGAAUAUUGGUCAAUGGACGCAAGUCUGAACCAGCCAUGCCGCGUGCAGGAAGACGGCUCUAUGAGUUGUAAACUGCUUUUGUACGGGGGUAAACGCAGAUACGCGUAUCUGUCUGAAAGUAUCUUACGAAUAAGGAUCGGCUAACUCCGUGCCAGCAGCCGCGGUAAUACGGAGGAUCCAAGCGUUAUCCGGAUUUAUUGGGUUUAAAGGGUGCGUAGGCGGGUGGAUAAGUUAGAGGUGAAAGCUCGAGGCUCAACUGCGGAAUUGCCUCUGAUACUGUGCGGCUAGAGAGUAGUUGAGGUAGGCGGAAUGGAUGGUGGAGCGGUGAAAUGCUUAGAGAUCAUAAAGAACACCGAUUGCGAAGGCAGCUUACCAAGCUACAUCUGACGUUGAGGCACGAAAGCGUGGGGAGCAAACAGGAUUAGAUACCCCAGUAGUC